UCCACCCCGCCCACCUCAAUCAUGACGCGGUCCCAGAGGCGGGUCAGCUCCUGGCCCUGGUCGGUGUCCGCGCUGUAGAAGCAACAGGAGGUUGCGUGUGUGUGUGAACUCUGCUGCUGGGAGACAGGUGACAUUGCACAACCGCCUGACUGCUUUAAAACAAUGUGCUUAUCACUCAGAGAAAUGUGUGCUCCAGUAUUUACAGUGUCCCCAUCCCCCCACCCUCGGGGCCUCACCGUGAGGACCAUGGACCGGCGGUGGCACAGUGCGGCGCCCACACCAAAACUGGCUACCACGAAGAAGGAGAAGCCGCAGAAGAUGGCAAUCCAGGCACCAGCGAAGACGUCAUCCUUGCCUGAGACUCCCAUCAGUGGGUAUACGCGGUACUGGUCGGCUGUCACCCAUAUGGUCUCAGCAAACAGGGCCAGGCCUGACAGCUGGACAGAGUGGUGGGUUAGGAAGGUCCGCUCAGGGCCAGCAGCCCUGGCACCAGGCAUCUCCAGGAGCAAGUUCCUUCCCCAUUCGGAGCCUCCACUGUCCUCUCAGUAAAGUGGGCAAAGACCUCGCCCUCCAUGAGCAGCGAUGAGGGUGAGCAGAGGCCAGGAGAGAAGAGACGGCCCAGCCAGACAACCGACCCCCACGCCCCAGCUGCUGGUUGCUUCAGGGAUGAAAGGGGAUGCCACACGGAAAGGCUGGAGCAGUGGACUGGCACAGAGGAGAUGGUUGGUCCACCUGCCCUCCCUUGAUGGUGCUGUUAUUCCCCGAGGAGGGGAACAUGGCCAUGGCCAUAAAAAUUACAAAUGGGCCAGGCAAGGUGGCUCACACCUGCAGUCCCAGCACUGUGGGAGGCCGAGGCGGGAGGAUUGCCUGAGCCCAGGAGUUUGAGACUAGCCUGGGCAAUAGUGAGACCCCGUCUCUACAAAAAAUAAAAAAAUUAGCCAGA